rnacentral:lncRNA from 1 species
AUGAUGUGAAGGUCAGAGUGAACAGAUUCAACCAUAUUGGACAUCUUGCUAUCAAGGCUGCCUUCUCAUCUGCAUCUGGCAAAGUGGAGAUUGUUGCCAUCAAUGACUCCUUCAUUGACCUCAACCACAUGGACUACAUAUUCCUGUAUGAGUCUACCCAUGGCAAGUUCAGUAGCACAGUCAGGACAUAGAAUGGGAAAGUUGUCAUCAUUGGGAAGCCCAUCACCAUCUUCCAGGAGUGAGAUCUAUGUGAGAUGUAUGUUAGAAUCAAAUGGGAUGCUGGUGCUUAGUAUGACAUGGAGUCUACUGGUGUUUUCAGCAACAUGGAAAAGGCCAGGGCCCACUUGAAGGGUAGAGACAAAAGUAUUAUCAUCUCUGCUCCUUCUGCCAAUACACCCAUGUUUGUGAAGGAUGUGAGCCACUAGAAGUAUGACAACUCACUCAAGAUUACUAUUAAUGCUUCUUGCAUCAACAACUGCUUAGCCCCCUGGUCAAGGUCAUUCGUGACAACUUUGGCAUCGUGGAAGAACUCAUCCAUGCCAUCACUGCCACUCAGAAGACUGUGGAUGCCC